AGAGAGCCGAGGAGAGCUACAGCGUACUAGGUCGACGAGCGAAGAAAAUGGCGAUUAUGCAGGACAAAUGCCUCCCCUCGUAGAUGCUGCGAAUGCGUUGAAAUUUCUUUAGCCUUACAGCCGGCUUUCAUUUCCACUCUGUUGCACUUUAUACUUUUUGAGAGAUUUGGAUUUGGAAGCUGUGGCCACCAAAGAAACUGAAGAGUCAAAACAGUGCCAGAUCAUAUCAAGUCCAGGCAGAGUCCCAACUCCCGACGACACACCCACCAUUCUGCACACACACUUAACACACAUUCAAGGUCGCACAAACACUCACACACACGCGCGCGUGCGCACACACUCAAAACAACAAUUCCUCAGCGAUGCCAAGAGGGCCUGCUCAGCUCGCUGCCUGCUCCGACAAGCGCCGCCCCCUCCUCUCCGACCCCUGAGGCCGACCCUCUUGAGCUGUGACCCUUCUGACCCAACCCCGUCGCCCUGGGAACGAGAGGUCCGUUCUCCUCCCAGCCGCCAGGGGGCGCCCUCGCGCCGACACGGGAGCGAGCCGCUCUUAAAA
ensembl:lncRNA